rnacentral:rRNA from 1 species
UACGUAGGUGGCAAGCGUUGUCCGGAUUUAUUGGGUUUAAAGGGUGCGUAGGCGGCUUUGUAAGUCAGUGGUGAAAUAUCGCAGCUUAACUGUGAGGGUGCCAUUGAUACUGCAAAGCUUGAGUACAGAUGAGGUAGGCGGAAUUGACGGUGUAGCGGUGAAAUGCUUAGAUAUCGUCAAGAACACCUAUAGCGAAGGCAGCUUACUAGGCUGUAACUGACGCUGAGGCACGAAAGUGUGGGGAUCAAACAGG